rnacentral:lncRNA from 1 species
GGAGGAGUUACGCAGGCAGGGUUGUGGUUGCUGGCUGUUACCAGGACAACCGGAGGCGAUUGACCGUUAUCUGCGGUUUGGAGCCGUUAGCGGGAGAGGCAGAGAUAUUCAGAGGUCUUUUAGGAUGCGCUAAAGGGUCGUGAGGGCUCUCUUAAAAUUUUCUUCACAAGCGGUUAUCCAGUCGUGCCCCGCGGCCCUGCUGCUGGCCCCGGGGAUCUGAGUCGUACCCUCUUGUUUUUCUCUGAGUCAGUCUUAAGGUGAAAUGAAGUGUGGCCCAGUGGCUCCUCACUGUCGCUUCUCUAGUUUUCUGCCUCCUUUUAGAAAAUUGAAUUGAAAAGACAGGAUGAAGUGGACACAGCAUGUGAAGACAAUUCUUUCAAGAAGUUUGGCUGUCAAGGAAAACAGAGAAUGUGCUAAAGAACAUACAGACACAGAGCAGACAGGCCACCUUUGCAACCACAUGGAGGUUUGUCUGAUAUUGAAGCUAAAGAAGCUAAGCUGGAAGACAGAGAGACCAAGUCCUGAUGACAUUGUUUGAACCCAGAGAUCCAGACAUGCCUGAAAACUAGUUUUACCACUGGACUUAUCCGUUGAAUGAGCCAAUAAACUCUCUUUUAUACUUAACCUUGGGUUUUACCUGGAUUUUUGUCAUUGACAGCUCAAAAUAUUCUAAUAUAGAAGUAUACAUCAUUAAAUCAA